rnacentral:lncRNA from 1 species
UUUCACCAUGAAGACCUCAGAUGAUCCAACCAACACCGCACAGGAAAUACGGAAAAUGGGAACACAGUCAUGAAACUCAUCCGUUUGAAAUUUUCUGUAAUAAAAGUAAAAAGAGGAUAACAUCAGGAAGAGUGUGUGUGAGACAAUGAGCACAAUUUUCUUAGGCAUAUCAGGGAAGGCCUCGCUUAGGGACUCUUGAGAAGAGGCUCCAUAGGAAUGAAGCAGCGAAAUGAGGACUAAAACAAGUGCCCACACUUCUUUCAUUUCGUCUCUGUCAGGAUUUAUUUUGAGAGGGAAAAGUUCAAAGAAGCUGUUUCUCAAAAUCUAGUACAUAAUUCCAUGUGAUUGCACUCAAAACUGUUCUUGAAAGAUUGGACCUCAGAAUAAAACAAUGCAGGAUGAAGAAAACUCCCAUCG